rnacentral:misc_RNA from 1 species
GAUGAAGAACGUAGCGAAAUGCGAUAAGUAGUGUGAAUUGCAGAAUUCAGUGAAUCAUCGAAUCUUUGAACGCACAUUGCGCCCGCCAGUAUUCUGGCGGGCAUGCCUGUUCGAGCGUCAUUUCAACCAUCAAGCCCUGCUUGCGUUGGGGUCCUGCGGCUGCCCACAGGCCCUGAAAACCAGUGGCGGGCUCGCUAGUCACACCGAGCGCAGUAAUACAUCUCGCUUUGGGCGUGCGGCGGGUUCUUGCCGUUAAACACCCCCUUUUUACCAAGGUUGACCUCGGAUCAGGUAGGAAUACCCGCUGAACUUAAGCAUAUCAAUAAGCGGAGGA